AGGAGUAACAAGAAGAAAUCACAGAUAAAUGUCAGUGUCGUCACAUAAAAGAUCAUUGAUGAGGUAAAACUGCAGGUCCAAUAAAAAGUUACAAGGGGCAGUUGGC